UUGAAUUUUGUUUUUACACGAGAGAAGAAGUUUACCUGUGGGAAAUCAACGGGCAAACAACAAACGAUAAAGGACUUUCCUGCUUGGUCUUGGUGUCAAAGUUGUGCAGAAUUGAAUGAAGAAACCUCAAAGACAGUGCCAGAAGGAAGCUGGAAAGAUGCAGUGAUGACCAACUUGUACUUGAGUUGUACUUAAGGAAUGCAGUUGGAAAAUAUUUUAUACAAGAAAAAAAAAACAAUUUCCUUUGAGUUCACUGUUGGUUGUUUUAUUUGUUAAAAUAAGUAAACCAACAAAUUGAUUAAUCUUUUUUUAAUCUGUUUUUUUUUUACGUUGUCAUUUAUCCACAAUGUUUUAAUGUUAAGUGUGAUAACAUGCUCUUGAU